GCAUUAAUGGGGUAGUGGUAACCUGGGUCGUUGCCAUGAUGGAAGCAUUGGACAAGUCGACCCGCCGGGGGUUCGAUUCCCUCUUAAUGCA
rnacentral:tRNA from 1 species